rnacentral:rRNA from 1 species
CCUACGGGUGGCUGCAGUGGGGAAUAUUGGACAAUGGGCGAAAGCCUGAUCCAGCCAUGCCGCGUGUGUGAAGAAGGCCUUCGGGUUGUAAAGCACUUUCAGUGGGGAAGAAAGCCUUGGGGCUAAUACCCUCGAGGAAGGACAUCACCCACAGAAGAAGCACCGGCUAACUCCGUGCCAGCAGCCGCGGUAAUACGGAGGGUGCGAGCGUUAAUCGGAAUUACUGGGCGUAAAGCGCGCGUAGGCGGUCUGAUAAGCCGGUUGUGAAAGCCCCGGUCUCAACCUGGGAACGGCAUCCGGAACUGUCAGGCUAGAGUGCAGGAGAGGAAGGUAGAAUUCCCGGUGUAGCGGUGAAAUGCGUAGAGAUCGGGAGGAAUACCAGUGGCGAAGGCGGCCUUCUGGACUGACACUGACGCUGAGGUGCGAAAGCGUGGGUAGCAAACAGGAUUAGAUACCCUAGUAGUC